CUUUCUAUUUUGUGAUCGACAGUUUUUUCGUAAAGGGGAAGGAGAGCCCAGCGUGCGCGCACGCCGAGGCCUCCUGGAGGCUUGGGAUCUUUUUUCCGGGGCUAGAGGAAGGGAGCCGGCGACGGCGGCGGCCGCGGCCGCCACCGCCGGUGCGGGCCGGCAGCUUCCGCCGCCCACAACCGCCGCGCGGGGCUGCCCGGGGGAAGCGCGCCUCCGCCCUGCAGUGUCCCCGACGCCACUACACCGGUCUCCGCGCUCUAGAACCACCUCGAGCCACCGAGUGCCGCCCUCGCGCCUCCUCGCGGCCACGGGCCGCCCCAUCCGUAGUCUCUCCUCCUCGUCCCACCACACAGCUGCGCUCGAUCACCGCCGCCGCACACGAGUGCUGUUACCUCCGCCGCCGCGACUCCUCCGGAUCGGUCCUUCCUCUAGGACCGCUCGCCUCGGAUUCAACAACGCUCUACCCUGCCCAGUCUAGACCCAAAACUAAACCCGGGCUCCCCAACCAGACAACGCACCGACAGGGGACCUCGCCCACUGCCGACAGUGCCACCGAGACCAGGAACGGGCUCCACCAACCUCCGACGACGAGGAGCGGACCCAACGACCACCUCAAACCCGGCACAAGAGAGUCGACACACUCCACAACCGCUAGGUACCGCCACGCCGAAGCUGUUGUUCCACGAUGCCACCGCCGCCACGCUCCGAAGUACCUGCACGGCGGAGUUUAGAGCCUCCACACCUCUACACACCGGUAUGUCUACUUUUAGGUCAGGCUAAAAACAGUCCGGACGCCGCUACCGUGGACACCCACGGUAAGGGGAGGAACCUCCGCAGCAGCUCAAUACAGCGGUAGAGGGAGCGAGCGAACCACACCCAUCCACAGAGGCCCGCUUUCGGAUCUAAGCCACGACCUAGCCGUGCUACCGCUGCCGCAGCUGCAGCAGGGAGGCAACCCCCGUAGCACGAACCUCUGUACUAAACCUCCAGAUACAACGCGAGGAGGCCGCUAGUGGCAGUAGGUACUAGCUAGAAGAAGCCGUGUUACAUGCCGGUGACGACCACUUAGGUUCUGCCCCGGAAGGAGACCUGCUUAGCUCAGGACGGUAGGAGAACGGAGGAGGAAAAUCCGUGUUUUCCCCCUAUUACGCAGCUGUUCCCUUCGAGCCACCCUCUACGACAAGAAGCUUCCACUGGCUGUCACCAACUCUGCGCCGCUCCAAAAUACAAAACCUGUUCGAGAAAACGAAGCAUCACCACCACAACAACCACCAACAGGAAACCUGAGCGGACCUACACUUUAAAAUGAUGCGAGCAAUAAGCGUCGCUCACUAUCAGUAGAACAUGAAUGUUUAAGAGAGAAGAUAUCUCGAUACCAUUAGUUAAACGCACAUGAGGGUUUAGGGGAAAGGAGAAGUCGGGGAGGGCGUGGGUCAUCUCCACCGCGGAGGGACGACGGGAGCGGCCGCGGAGGGACGUCGGGGGGAGAGGGAGAUUGGGGAGAGGUCGUGAGUGGGGCGUCGGAGAUGCGAGCGGCUAGAGGAGGGACCCGCGCACCGACCCGUCGGGCCGCGGGCAGCUAAGGCGGGCGCCCGCGCACCGACCCGGCGGGCUGCGGAGUCGAGGCCGCGGUUGGCAGGGCUUCGGCGUCGAGCCCGCGAUUUGCCGGGACGAGACGGAGCAGGACGGAGGGACGACGAGCGGACGGGCCCCGAGGGCGACGGAGGUAACCACGCGCGACGUCGGACGUCCUUGGGAUUGGAGGAGUCGGCGGGAGACGAACCGUCACGUGUCUAGUCGAGCUGGCGGAGGGGACGUUGGAACUGGAGUCGUUCUAAACCACGAGAAAACACCGACUUAAACAAGUGACGUCGUUUUAAUCGGGUGGCAGAAAGUCACCGCCCGCUGCCGUACAGUAGGGGGCCUAGGAGCCUGCUGGGGUCUAGAGUUCAUUCGAGCGACAUGUUCGCAGUAAGUAAAGUCUCACAACAAGAACCACGCGAUGUUCAAGUCUUCUAGGUAUUACAAACCUAAAAACUACUCUUCUCAAACUAACAAGCUCCUCUAAACAGAAUGAGGUACCGUAAUAUGUUCUAGAAGCUGGUCUAUGACGAAGAACACCGUCUAUUGUUCUUGGCUCCUUACUGAGCUGACUGUCAUCUACACCUGGUCUUGUUCCCGUCUUAGUUCAAAUGAACAUGACCUUGUUUAUAGGGAUACCCCGGGCUCCGUCACAACGUUAAAUGGCUUAUAUCAGGCUGUUACCUCAAGUUGCCUCACAAACGGUUACAAGAGAGUUUAUCCAAAUGCCAGUCGUGGUGUUUACCUUUUGUUAACGAGUUCGUCUGUAUGUCUUUUGCGUACAACUUCCAUGUUGGCGUUCAUUGAUUUUUGGCGUAUCAAGGACUCCUUAGUUGUGUAGACCUCCUCACCUGUUCGCACAGAAAAUAUGGACUAGAACGUUACAAGUCCUACUGCUUCGACCUUCCACUAUAAUAGACAUACUACGCUUUUUCUCAGUAACUCUACUGGACGUGGUAACCUUUUUCGUAGCUACACAUGAAGUUACUACUUAACUAUGGUCUCUACUGUAAAGAGUUCAUACAGCUCGUGAUGUAACCGCGACCACGCCUUCGUCUUCUCUUUGUAGGUUCCCACAUACUCUCAACCACUUACCCUCUAAACAGACUGGGAAUCACUACCGCUCAAGUUGGUUCAAUCGAAGUGCUUGCCUGUAAGUUGAAACCCACCUUCGGUACACCUGACGCAUCGUCUGGUCCAAUAUCGUAUACAGUACUCCUUGUAACUCCUUUCACCGUUCGUCUCUCUUUAGUGCGUACUUUUACAGUUCUCGACCGACACCAAUAAAGAGUUACACUGUCUACUUUUACGAUGUAAACUGAAUGGGACGUUUCUUUGACACUGUUUGUCGUUUCACAAAUGAACGUUCGAUAGUCUACUCAAGGAAGUUUUUAAAUAACUCAAACCUUAGUAGUUAUAUGAUACAGGGUACCCACUAGGCUGGUAGCUUAGUCUAAAUAGACUAAGUCUACAUUGACCUUAAGGCUUUAACCUACUACACUUCAAACGACCACCAUGUUUUCGAUCCUUCACGUGGAACUAAGAAUGGCUUCCUCUAAGUCGUUUCAAUGAACACUACUUACGGGACCCAUGAUAACCUGCCCUAAUGAUACCGCACAUAGGUAACUUACCUUUUUAGUACUUACACUUACCUGCAUGUGGUCGGGUUCAUACCCUUUCGAGAUUUCAAGUUUGAUAUUACGCCUAUUACCCAGACUUUAAACUUGCGUUCAUGUCACAACAACUACCGAACGCCAUACCGGCAUAUUACUAAUACUACCUAGUCCUGCAACUGCCAAGAGUGUAGUUUCCGAAUUAGUAGUUAAAUAAGGAACUUACAACCGGAAGAAACGAGUUUCAACUUCCCAAAAAUGUCGUCAAAUAGUGAGGUUAGUAGUCUGAAAGGGCAUUAUCACUUUCAUAAAAAAAGAUGAGUUACUAGCUCAUAUUUGACACCUUACUCUCCGUGCUUCCUCUCCGACCAUUGACCUGUCACUUUAUAAUAUUCCCAAAUCCUUGUUCGUGGUGACGACUGCGACGAUUCAUAAAAGCUGUGUACGCGUUUGUGUGUGCUUUGAAGUAAACCGCACCACACCUUCUGUCAUGAUCAUAUUUCAAUCGUAAACUAUCCUUCAGUCGUCGGAAUUCUUUUCUUACCUACUUUUAACCCAAGCUCAAAGUCAUAGUGUACCUAAUGUGAGUUCUUACGUAAUCAAUAUCACUGAAGUAUUUAUUACUCUACGCCGACAUGAGAUAUCGUUUAGAACUCGCCAGUUGUGGUAGCCACUACCUACCGAAAUUCGGACAGGUUUCCUUCUAAUACGUAAGGACGAACUUCUCUUGGAAUUUUCUUCAAUUCCAGUCAAAAGGACGGACGUUAGAGACAAAGGGACGGACUGUUCGAUUCCGCAGACUAAACCAGACUCCGCACGUUCCGCCGCGAUUCCGCCUGCGAAGUCUGCGGAAUGUCGGAUUCCGCCUGCGGAAUGCGUUGACAGAUUCCGUUCCGGCUGCGGGACUCGGACCUCCCGCGGGACUGCGGAAUGCCUGCGGAAUUUUUGUAUCCAAUGUUCUAAGCCGUAUAAACUUACCUCUAGUUUCAGACGGUGGUUGUUAAUAUCCGUACCGGGUUCUGAAACACCCUUGGUUAUUAUAGUUGGAAAACGUCGGGUUCCCGGUUAUACCGUGUUCUUCGUUCCCGUCCUUUGUAAGGCGAUUCUCAUCCAUACAAAGGUGCCCAAACAGUCUAUACUGUCUCUUUCACAAGGGUUUUCUUCUACUCCAGGUAGAAUUAAUAAACUUUGUCUUACCUUUACUUCACCUUGGACUCACCAUACAAGGUUAUCAUGGAUACUAGAACUAGUUACCUACAAGCCCGCAACCAUGACCAACCUUCUGGAGACAGGGCUACAUAUUAGGUGAGCUACAACGGUUACAAUACUCUGUCAAUUAUUUACUAGGAAAAAACCUUUUUUACACCUCGGGUAACCAAGGAACCAUGUCCCCUAAGUUCCCGUGUUAACUGUCCCGACUCUCUCUACUAAAUAAAUAGUCGUCACCACAAUAUGUUUUCCAACUAUUAUGUAAAUCUUAAUGGCUCGACGGAUAACCGAUGUGGUAACGUCCAAUAUUUUUUUAGGAAGUUAGAUACAACUUGUUAUUCCUGUUCCAGCUACGUUUCUUUGGCCCGCUGUAUUAUUAACUCUUUUAUAGACAACUACCUCUACGUUUCUUACACCUAUAAUGUCAUUGGAAUUGACUCCUCUUAUACGUCUUCUGACUACCAGUACUGGGAGACUAUAAUAAGUUCGACUGCUGUUUGUAAACCUGAUUAUUAUACGUGAAUAUAUUGUCACUACCGUUCAAAUGAAUAAUACGUUGGGGUGAUUUCUAUCGGGUUCUUAAGAUGUUCCAGUCCAAAAGGGUGAUACUUUUUGCCUUCCUCCGUUAACAGUUCUCUGAAUACUACGUCUAUUUCGUUGUUCUUUUGUUUUAAUUUAAAUAGUUGCCAAAAGUCUCACCACUUAUGUAUGAUUGACCGUUCUUUUUACUUCUAGUUUACAACCUUAAAGAAUUUCUCUUGCCUAAACUUCGUUAGGGUCUUCUCCCUCUACGGCAACCAAAAUUCAUAGAAAGAAGAGACGUUUAAUCGGUCAAUUGACUAGUCAUGCAAAGACUCGAACAUAGUCUUUACGUAUGAUACCUUCGACUCAUACUUCGGUAUCGUUAUUUUGUUGGUUCACUUGAUACCAACCGACUAGAACUCUUGAAACUCUUCCGACAAUUCCUCAAUAUACGCCGGUUCCUUCUAUGGCUUUUUCGUUAUUGACUACGACUAAAUCUUUUCCGACCAUUUCUUUGUUAUUAGUUCUUUUUUACAUUUUGUUGUCGACUACGGUUACGUAGCCGUUACCUACAACUACCGUUCCUGCAGGAACUUGAUCUGGGAGAGAGACCUCCGGGGUACAGGGGUCUUGUAGCACUUAACCUCUCGCUUCCCUUGUGGUUUGCCUUCGUUGGUUUCUUCCUAGCCGCCUCUUUCUCUUUUUUUGUUUUCUUCUUACACAGUUGAAUAGAACCGAUUCAUGUACGUACUGUAUACCAAAAUGAAAUGGCUCACAAUCUCGAGUAGAACGAGCAAUGUAACUCCUCACGUUCCACUUAACAUACCACAAGACAAAUCGGUACCAGCCCACUCGUCGUUUAAGGUACCAAGAAGAAUCCUUGCUAACCAUAACUAAUACCAGAAGCAGUAGCACUAUGUUACUGGCAAUCCGAACUCGUGAUACUUUGGAACUAACCACAACUAAAGAUAGUCCACCUCUAUACAGGGGGAAAUGGGACACAACGUGUACUCCUAAACUCGCUGAGACUCUUCCUUGAACAACCGUGAAAAAAAAUGUGAGCACCACAGCUAGAGUUAAUAGUCGUUUACAUAAAGUACAGCGUUGUUAAGAAACUACUGUUGAUGUAUGAGACAACAGGAAAACAAGUGUACUAAUUAAGGCACUUACAAUUACCAGUAGUAUACCAAUAAGGAUCGUACCAACAGUCCUCAAACUUCUUCAAACACAGUAAAGGAUCCCGGCUGCAAAAUUGAGAACUUCAAUGAAAUCUAAGAAUGCUACUACUAUAUAUACACUCGUAAGGAACAAGCAUGAAGUAACCGAACCCACCAUCUUACCACAAGUUCUUCGUUCCCAAGUCACUAAAAGAAGUCCGUAGCAGAUAAUUUCAUUUGUUGAACCUAGAGUAUUGGAAGUUCCUCGCACUACCCUCCUCCUCAGCUACUAACGGACGCGAAGAUCGGGGAGCUUCUAGGGAACAGAAACAAGAAUGUACCAGCCUCGGCAAGAAAGUUACCACCAACCUCUUCCUCCUCAGCUACUAACGAUGACGUUCCGGUCGGUACCUCAGGGAAAGAGGUGGUGGGAACUAUGUCUUGACGGAGACCUACGACUGCACCACGAGCAGACUUUAAGACUAGGUACGUGCCCGUUCGUACUAGAACAGCGAGGACCACAGCUGCGAUCGCUUUCAAUAGCGAAACGCAACGUCCUUGAGUUGGUUGCGAACCGUCGCGAGCCUGGACGUUAUCACCAUGUGCUCCUGUACGAGCGCGUACCGUUCAACGUACUGUCGCUGGGGAGCCGCAGACAUUGAUGAGAAUGCACACAUGAGCUCCAGCUCCGGCUGUUUGAACAAGAAGAGGAGGAAAUCGGUAAGGAGCAUGUAAAACUACUAAGCGAGGUCAGAAACCCAGCAACCACAUGUGGUGGAGGUCGUGUCAACACGGUACCCAUCACUGCACAAGCCACACACAACAAUCAAAGAGCAGCAGGUACCGACGUCCCUCCGCCACACCCAAAAACCGCCGGCUGCUCCUUACCGCCUCCUUCUUCUCCGUUUACCUACACCACAUUUACUUUAACCUACCAAAGAAACAUUACAUCUUUUUCAUUGGCUGCUCUCGUCAACCCUGCAGUAGGCUGCCAAGGUCCUCAAUGCCUUUGUCCGCAGACAAUCUCGUUAAAAAAAUCGCCAAGCUCGUUAUAUGAAAAAUGGCGUUACUGUAGGGAGCGAGUCACACGCACAGAUACGCACCAGAACAAUAAAAGUUCGACGUCAAAAAAACAACUUACUUUACAAAAAACCCAGUGUACCACGGAGAUAUAAGCUCAACAAAGUCUUCUACGAGAAAGAACCAAAUACUUCCAUCAGCUCAGUACCACCUUGUACGUUGUCACAGUGCCAGCACGGAAUGACUUACUACGUGACAACAAUACAAUAACCCACGUGCGAACAUAUAACUUUUUAUCAGCUACUUGUUUUGUAUCACG
rnacentral:rRNA from 1 species